rnacentral:lncRNA from 1 species
CACCUGCAAAGUUAUCCAUCAGUCACCAAUUUUUUAACUAUUCCGAUAUUUCUCUACAAAACCUGAGAGAUGGAAAGCUCAGGAGUAACAUGAAUAUUCAACUUCAGCCGAGCAAACUUUUAAUUUACUCCACCCUUGUAUCAGUUUCCACAAGUCAAGAUACCAUUUUGGCUCAAAUCAACCAGAUGCACACAUGAAAAUUUGAUGCAAUUCUUAACAGACGGCUGGAAGCUAAAGCAGCAUAGCCAAUCAAUAGUAUCGCUGCAUAUCCAAAAUUUUGCGUGAAGGUGAGAAAAUCAAUUAGGCAGCUUUAAAAGGGUUUCUGGGAAAUAAAACUUUCUUUGAGAGGGUAAAACCCCAAAGAAAACACCAGAAUGCCAGUAGCUCUCAAAAUUCACCCUUAAAUCAAUUGCAACCGACUACGACUGCCUAUCGAAAUGCAAUAAAUACAAGCAUUAAAAAAAGGGCAGCCCGGUGUACUAAGCUACCUAUGCGCAGGUCCAGGGACCGGACCACAAGGGUCUAUUGUGCGCAGCCUUGCCCUGCAUUUCUAUAAGAGGCUAUUUCUAAGGCUUGAACCUGCAACCUCCUGCUCACAUGCCAACAACUUUACCGAUUAAGCCAAGGCUAUCCUUCCUAAAUACCCAAGUAUUAACACCCAAAAUUUGGACUUCCAAAACCCAAUUAAGCAGAUCGUAUGCGUGACAGGCACAAUAAAACCAAGAUGAUCCGCAUUUCCCCCUCAUUUUUCCAUGGCCAAAACAGAAAGAAUACAUAAAUAGAGUGGUGAGAGGGUGGUGGAACAAGCUCCAACCUUUUCCAUCCAUGCUCAAACUCAAGUCUUAACUAGCGCAAUUUAGGGAAUAUUUCCAAGAUCUUACUUCAAAUCCACAAUAAAUCUACAACAAAGUAAUCACAUCUCACAAAGGUACAUCAAAAUUAAUGAAUUAUGACAGGAUAUUAUUACAAUUCCUCACCUUAAAGAUCAAGCUUUUCCCGAUCCUACCAGCAGGAUGAUUCGCAGCAUACUCUUCUUUGCUCAAAUUCCUUGCCCCCAUUAAAGCAAUCGCAACCGUAUCACCAAACACCAUUUGAAUAGCAGUAGACGUCACAGGUGCUAAAUCGAAAGGGCAUAAUUCUCUCUCUAAAGGCAAAUGCACAUUCAGAUCACACAACCCCAUCAAACAAUUAGGCUUUACAGAAGUAACCUGUAUCACCAAAUACCAUUUGUAUAGCUGUAGACGUCACAGGUGCCAAAUCAAAAGGGCAUAAUUCUCUCUCCAAAGGCAAGUGCACAUUCAGAUCACACAACCCCAUCAAACAAUUAGGCUUUACAGAAGUAACCGAGAUUAAAAAGACCCUUUUAGCCUUUGCACAAGGCACAAGCUUUAACAAUUCUU